rnacentral:misc_RNA from 1 species
GAUGAAGAACGUAGCGAAAUGCGAUAAGUAAUGUGAAUUGCAGAAUUCAGUGAAUCAUCGAAUCUUUGAACGCACAUUGCGCCCCCCAGUAUUCUGGCGGGCAUGCCUGUUCGAGCGUCAUUUCAACCAUCAAGCCCUGCUUGUGUUGGGGUCCUGCGGCUGCCCGCAGGCCCUGAAAACCAGUGGCGGGCUCGCUAGUCACACCGAGCGCAGUAGUACAUCUCGCUCAGGGCGUGCGGCGGGCUCCAGCCGUUAAAGCACCCACCUUUCGCAAGGUUGACCUCGGAUCAGGUAGGAAUACCCGCUGAACUUAAGCAUAUCAAUAAGCGGAGGA